AUGCUGUGGGGAGCUGGCCCAGCUGUGGGGGGGUUCGUGUUGGCCUCGUCCCUGCAGCUGAUGGCAAAGAGGCGUCAUGCCGUCUCCUGCCUUUCCAAGCACCAUGCUCUUGGUGCCCCAGCUUGGAGAGGUGAGAACUGUAAAAGGGCUUGGGUUGCUGGCUCUGUCCCUCACCGACGGCGUGAUGUGGUUCUCCAGGGAGCACGGUGUGGGCCAAAACGUGGCCUUUCACUGGCAGUGGAGGAGCCAAGCUCAGGAGGAUGCAGUGUCCUGGGCAGCGUGCUGCCGCCGUGCCGUGCCAUGCUCUGCUCUCGGGGUGUUGGGGCACGCUGCGGCCGCUGGGCAGGGUGGGAACCAUCAGCCGCGUUCAGCACUGGUGUCAGCUUGGUGCUGCCUGUGUCCUGGGCAUGGACCGGGCCAGGGCAAGGCGUUGGGUGUGUGCCUCAGUGCAUGGGCUGGGGUGCUCUCCCCCAGCUCCCGGUGCUGUCCCGCGCCACCGCUUGGUGUCCCGGCCCUUGGCAGCUGCGUGAGGGCAGCCCUGGCCUUGCCUGGGAGCAUGACGUGAUGGAUGGUUCGUUUUUGCCUUCGCAAUCCCGCCUUGAGUUCUUGUCUCCACUCCAGCUCUUUGUAGAGAUGUCUGGGCAAUAUCCAUCUCCCACGGUCUUCCUUUCAAGAGUCUUAAUCUGUGCCCAAACGGCUCCAUCCAUUCUGACCCCAGGUGGUCUCUUGGUGUCCAGCGGGUCCCGGGGUCACCAGUUCUCUCUUAUUUCUGCUAGGCCUGCCCCCGUGCCUUUGUGCCUCAUUUUCCAUCAGGCUCCAUGGGAAGAGCUGACUGCGGUCCAGCCCCGAGCCCAGAACAUGCCACUUGGGCAUCUCCCGGCCGCGCCUCUGUGUGAUGCUGAGUGUUGGCAGAGGGUGCUCUCUGUUCUCAUGGCCCUGGCCCUGGGGCUGGCUGUCCCACAGGCUGUCCCCGUGUCCCUGCUGUCCGGAGGGGCUGAGGGGCUUGAGAACUUUUGGCACUGGGACAACGUGUGGAGCGGAGCUGUGGGGGCUCUCCUGGUGCUGUGCUCAGGUGAAGCUUUGGGUCCACGGUGA
rnacentral:lncRNA from 1 species